UGUCAAUAAUUAUGAUUAAGCUUGCAAUAAAGUGAAUCGAGAAGGUGGUGAUGGAAUGUGAUGAUGAUGGUGGUGGUGGUAAUGCACGCUCUCCAGCUUUUCUCUUCUCGCUGGUCUCCCUCUCUCGUAUGGAUGUCAGAAGACACAACUCCAUCGCCACCUCAACAACGCAAGGGAAAGCUGUAGAUCCUCAUCUUCCUCCAGGCACUGUUGCCUCCUGCAAGCUGGGUUGGAUUCUUUUCCUUUUGCUGACCUUUGUGUGUGUAUGCAUGAUUCCAGGCCCACGUACGUACCAGUCUCACUGCCACCAAAUGCAACAUCAUGAAAGAGAGAUGACAGCAAGCGAAGAGGAGGAAAGCAAGCCAUGAGAAAAAUUGGAGAACAGCCCUCAUCUCGCUCAUCUGCUGCACCAAAAAGCAUCAAGAUAAAGGCAAAUCUCUCAUUGGCCCCAUUGAGAAGCAUGCACUCACCAACACCUCCACACCCACCUCCUUAGAUUCCCCUCCCCACCUCCUUCCUCCUCCCACUCUUCCUCCCCCACUCUCAAAAGCUACAAAUUAGCCCGUCCCUCAGCUAAAUUCCAAUUCCUAGAUCCUCUCUCUCUCUCUCUCUCUCUCUCUCUCUCUCUCUCUCUCU
rnacentral:lncRNA from 1 species